rnacentral:rRNA from 1 species
AGGGUUUGAUUCUGGCUCAGGAUGAACGCUGGCGGCGUGCUUAACACAUGCAAGUCGAGCGAAGCACUUAAGUUUGAUUCUUCGGAUGAAGACUUUUGUGACUGAGCGGCGGACGGGUGAGUAACGCGUGGGUAACCUGCCUCAUACAGGGGGAUAACAGUUAGAAAUGACUGCUAAUACCGCAUAAGACCACGGUACCGCAUGGUACAGUGGUAAAAACUCCGGUGGUAUGAGAUGGACCCGCGUCUGAUUAGGUAGUUGGUGGGGUAACGGCCUACCAAGCCGACGAUCAGUAGCCGACCUGAGAGGGUGACCGGCCACAUUGGGACUGAGACACGGCCCAG